rnacentral:misc_RNA from 1 species
UUUUUUUUUUUUUUUCUAUCUUCUAGGACUACUACUUGGGUUCGUUGUCAUCUUUAGAGCUGAGGAAGGAAGAUGAUGAUGGUACUUUUGAAGAUGAGAAGAAGAUUUCUAAGAUGUCAUCUUUCAUCCAUGUUUAAGGGGAUUACUGAUCUUCUUGGCAUAGAGAAUUAGGCUUGGAGCUGUGGCCUAAAGAUCCAUAAUUUGGAAGGUGAAUUAACUUGAGGAAAUCCAACCUCUAGGCAAGUCUGAUGCUUGGCUUUGAAUUAUUCUCUCCUUUUCUUUUUCUUGCUCUUUCUUCUUUGGUUUUCUUGUUCGGUUGCCAAGAAGAUGGAGGAAAAAUAAAACUACAUAUUACAUGUUAGAAUAUUUCCGAGAUUUUAUUUCUUUUUCUGUGUCUUUUGGGAAACCAAACAAAUUUUCUUCUUACCUGAGUACUUUUCUGUGUGCUUUAACACUGUAAGAGAGUCUUUAUAUAUUUAACAACAAAAUUAUGGAAUAAAAAUGAUCUGCCAAACCUAGGUUUUUCCCAAAAUCAGCUUCAAAACCAUCCAUAGUGAUAAAGUUAAAGAUAAAGAUAUAUAGUAUGCAUACUUCUGCUUC